AAUUGCAUGAUCUAGCGUUAUCUCCAUACAUUUGGGUAGCUAGGAUUGGAUCUCUCUAUUUCUUAAUGCAAUUAACAGUUGUUUUGAUGCCUAAGGUCCAAGGACGUUCCUUGGCAACUUGUUGAUUAGUAAUUAAUUAGAGGACGUUCCCUAAUUAAUUUAUUCCUAAGGAGAGAUAAUGGUGGUGAGAAGCGUCUUCCAUCUCCAUAAACUGAUUUAUUGAAUCAACCCAAAGUGUCUGUAAUCAAUCCCAACAGCUAAAGUGGAUCCAAUACUUCAACUAGAGCUUUCUUAUUAUUUAUUUCUCUUUUAUUUUAUUAUUCGCUUAUUUUAAUUGUUUUCAGUAGUUUGUUAAUCAAAUCAAUUUCAAACCCCCCAUUUUACUUUUACUGCAAUUUAUUUUUAUUCCACUUUCAGUUUAUCUCGCUUUCAGUUUUAUCUCGUUUCAAUUUAUUCCUCUUUCAAUUAUAUUUCUUUUCAGUUUAUUUCUCUUUCAGUUUUAUUUCUGUUUAUUUUUAUUUCAGUUUAUUUUAUUGGUCUUGAUAAGGAAAAUAGGUAAGUAUUCAAUUCCCUGUGGAUUCGAUCCUUUCACCACUAUCUGCAGUUAUAAAUUGUUGAUAACCAGAAAGGUUAUUUUUGACCGGCUUCGACAACCGCGAGUCAA
rnacentral:lncRNA from 1 species